AAGGAUCAUUAUCGAAUAUAAACUUGGUAGACUGUUGCUGGCUUUCUUGAGCAUGUGCACGUUUAUCAUCUUUAUUUUUCCACCUGUGCACUUUUUGUAGGCUUGGAAUAUAGUUUAAUGGUGUCUUGUACCAAGAUGCUUUUUACCUUGGGACUGCUGUGUUUAAACGCAUGUUUAUCGGCUUUCCCUUUUAUUUUUCAAGUCUAUGUUUUUCAUAUACACUCCAGAAAUGUAAUAGAAUGCUGUACUUUAGGUCAUUUGUACCUAUAAUAAAUCAGUACAACUUUCAGCAACGGAUCUCUUGGCUCUCG
rnacentral:misc_RNA from 1 species